rnacentral:lncRNA from 1 species
ACCGAGCAUCCCUGUGCCCACUGCUGAGUUUCUGAGGAACGUGUCAUCCAGCUCGGCAGUUCCCGUGACUACUGAGGACUGGCACUGAGUCCAGCUUUGUUGAACCUCCGAUUAUGCAGAGAAAAUGAGUGAUUCCUACUUGGACACAAAAGGAACUAAAGAAAAUGAUACUCUGUGAAGACAUAAAGCUGUUUGCAAUAUAAUCUACAAUCUUUUUCCGAUAUUCUUUAAUUCCUGUCACCUCUCAGGAUGAAGUAACCCCUCAGGAAUCCCAAGAAAAGAAGGGAGAAAAUGCUUUUUGAAGGAGCAGAGUUGGGCUGAGGACUUUGUAGAAGAAGUGGUGAGAGGCAGAAGACAACGCCCAGAUGGACUCCCUGUGCCGAGAGAAUGAGGAGGGCACAGCAGUGCUGU